rnacentral:antisense_RNA from 1 species
GCGCGGUGACGUCACCGCAUCUUUAUAAAGGGCCGCCUUGGGGCGCGAAAGGUUCGUGAGGUGUAGUCGCGGCAACUAGGAGGUGCACCCACCACUAGAAUUUGAACAUCCUAAGAACAGGUAUUUUUGUCUCUGCUUUGCUGAUGUAUCCUCAGCAACCGGAACUGCCUGACAUCUGAUCCUUUCUGUGAGACACCAGGCUGUUGAGGAAGAAUCUAUGGCAACAUUGUAUCUAUUAAUAUACAGCUUCUGUAUUUAUCAGGCCCAGUUCUGGUGAUGAUUUCACUUUUGACAGAAGCUGUCCCUCAAAAGCAAACAUGCAAUAGAAGAAACAGAUCUCAAUGGAGUCUCACUCUGUCACCCAGGAUGGAGUACAGUGGCGUGAUCUCGGCUCACUGCAAGCUCCGCCUCCUGGGUUCAUGCCAUUCUCCUGCCUUAGCCUCCCGAGUAGCUGGGACUACAGGCGCCCGCCACCACGCCCGGCUAAUUUUUGUAUUUUUAGUAGAGACAGGGUUUCACCGUGUUAGCCAGGAUGGUCUCGAUCUCCUGACCUCGUGAUCCGCCCCCCUCAGCCUCCCAAAGUGCUGGGAUUACAGGCGUGAGUCACUGUGCCCAGCGAAGUUUAGUAUUUUUUGUAGAGACAGAGUUUCACCAUGUUGGCCAGGCUGGUCUUGCACUCAUGGCCUCAAGUGAUCCACCUGCCUCGGCCUCCGAAAGUGCUGGGAUUACAGGCGUAAGCCACUGUGCCUGGCCUUAAAUGGGUAAAUUUCAUAUGGUAUAUGAAGUAUAUUUCACUAAAACUUUAAGAAAACAUUAUACAGUACUGUUCAAAUUUUAAGUGGUCCAAUUUAAAUGCACUAUUGUAUACAAUUCUAUGUAAUGUCCUUACCAUGGUAUAUGUUAACUAUAAAUAUCUAUGCCCCUACCCUUAGUAUCAAAGCAUAUAUUAUAUGCCAGUGAGCCAAGCCCCACAUGUCUGUGAAAUGUGGUCUUCUAGCCAUAGAAGUAGCUUGUGCUCCUAGGGUAUUCCUUGAGGCUCUGUAUGAAGAAUGUCCAUUUGUUUGAGUACCUAACCUACAGAAUAUUCCUGACCAUGGAAAUGUGAUAGAGACGAGUAAGCACAUGGACCAAAAGGCCUGGAGGCUCAUCAUUUAAGGUACAAGCCAAUUAUGUAGUCUUUGAAAGAAUGCUUUGAAAUUCAGCUUGCUUGAUUCAAUUCCCAAUAUUUUCAUUUGUAUUAAAAGAUUUGGCCCUUACAGGUUAAAAACAAUGUCAGUAUAACCAAGUGACAUUCAAAUUUUGGCUCCCAACAUGUGAUAUGACAUCACUUCAUGUGAAAAUAGCGAAGCUCCAAACAUUUUCUUUCAGUCACCUUAUUAAGCUCGCUGAGCUCUGACAGCCUAAUGAAAGGCUAAGGGGGAAGAAAAUGUCCCAACUUCUACACUGUUGAAGAUGGGCUAAUAAGAGGUUAGCUUGCAAGAAUCAUUCUUUCUUGGCAUCCUGCUUCUGAUUGCUCGGCUUUCAGCUUACACCCAGCAUGAAAAUUUAAUUUCCUCGCAGUUGAAGGUAGUUUAAAGCUUAUUACUCACAUGCUAAAAUGUUGAUGUAUCUGUUUUUGUGCUUGUUUUCUGGAUGAUUGGAAUGCUCUGCAGUGAUGUUCAUAUCAGCAGUACAGCGCUGGACUUCCUAGUGAAGAAAACAGCAAGAUUAUAGACACAGUUUAGAACAAAGGAACACCAUAUACAUUUAAAGGCAUAAAGUAUUUACUCACUCCCUGGCCACAGCCACCGUUACCUUCUGAAUCCCAACUUCGGAUAUAAUUAUUGAUAUAUUUAUAACGAGUUUAUGAAGAAUGUGAAAAAGGUAUAAAGAUUUCAUUAUUUACUAUUUCAUCAAUCAUCUACUUUAUUCUAGUUUUUGACCUAGUCCCUGAGAUGUAAAACAAUAUCUCUUUUUGAAUACAUCAUAGUCUAUGGGUGAGAAAAAUAUUCAAAAAGAUAGUCAAACAUGAUGAAUAUAAAAGAGGCCUGAAAAAGCUCUGAUGGGAGCACAGAACAGAGGAAGGCUUUAGACAGGUGAAAAAAUUUACCUAAGUCUUAAAAGAAGAAAGGGAAUUUCUAAGAAGUAUAAUCUCUACCAUGAUUUGCAAUAUGCUUACAGGCCUUAUAGCCUCAUUUUAUAAUUGUGAGGGUGCAUUGACUCUAAAGACUCAGUGCUGAAAUAACCCUAAAAAUAGCCCAACUAAUGGUCAUAUCUCAUAUAUACAGUCUUGACAAAUUAUUUGUGAACUCUAGUAUUUUAAAAGUUAUCCUUCUUUGGAAAAAUUGCAGUAGCAGAAAUAACGCUCUUAUCCUACCUUGGCCGUGGAUUUAAACGUCAUCCAUUAGCCUAAUACAACAUUGCUGAAAAGCCAAAUUUUUCUACACUAUAUGCUUCAAACCCAAGAAAGUACUGGAGCUGACUAAUAAGGGAAGUCAUUAGCAGUACACAGCUGCUACAAAGAGCCUGAACAAAGUAACACAAAAUUAUCAGGAGAAAUGUUUUACACAGAACAGAUGUAGCAGAGUUUAGAAGCAUGCAGACUUUUUUUUUCCACAAAGGAGUUGCCUAGUAAUUAUGCAUGUUUUCCAUAGUAUUUACAUUAAACAUAAUGAAAACAA